rnacentral:rRNA from 1 species
GAUGAACGCUGGCGGCGUGCUUAACACAUGCAAGUCGAACGAUGAUCCCCAGCUUGCUGGGGGGAUUAGUGGCGAACGGGUGAGUAACACGUGAGUAACCUGCCCUUGACUCUGGGAUAAGCCUGGGAAACUGGGUCUAAUACCGGAUAUGACCUUCCAUCGCAUGGUGGCUGGUGGAAAGCUUUUGUGGUUUUGGAUGGACUCGCGGCCUAUCAGCUUGUUGGUGGGGUAAUGGCCUACCAAGGCGACGACGGGUAGCCGGCCUGAGAGGGUAACCGGCCACACUGGGACUGAGACACGGACCAGACUCCUACGGGAGGCAGCAGUGGGGAAUAUUGCACAAUGGGCGCAAGCCUGAUGCAGCGACGCCGCGUGAGGGAUGACGGCCUUCGGGUUGUAAACCUCUUUCAGUAGGGAAGAAGCGAAAGUGACGGUACCUGCAGAAGAAGCGCCGGCUAACUACGUGCCAGCCGCCGCCGUAACAC